UUAAGUUCAGCGGGUAUUCCUACCUGAUCCGAGGUCAACCUUGUAAAAUGGGGUGUUUUACGGCAAGCAUGCGCCCACGCCCGGAACGAGAAGUAACUACUGCGUUCGGUCGUGGGACGCACCCGCCGCUGUCUUUCGGGGCCUGCCGCGCAGGACCCCAACACCAGGCGUGGCCUGAGGGUUGUAAUGACGCUCGAACA
rnacentral:misc_RNA from 1 species